UUAAGUUCAGCGGGUAUCCCUACCUGAUCCGAGGUCAAUCGUAGAAAUGGGGGUUGCUGGCAAGCAUCCACCGGGACUCCAUAGCGAGAAGAAUUACUACGCUUAGAGCCAGAUGGCGCCGCCACUGGUUUUAAGAGCCGCCGGGAAGGCGAGCCCCAAGACCCCCGCGAGGGGAUGUGAUUAUAUGACGCUCGAACAGG
rnacentral:misc_RNA from 1 species